GGUGAACGCUAGCUACAGGCUUAACACAUGCAAGUCGAGGGGUAACGAGAGGAAAGCUUGCUUUCCUUGUCGACGACCGGCGCACGGGUGAGUAACGCGUAUCCAACCUGCCCCCAACUAGGGAAUAACCUUGCGAAAGUAAGACUAAUACCCUAUAAUUUCCUCAGAUGACAUCUGACGAGGAAUAAAGAUUUAUCGGUUGUGGAUGGGGAUGCGUCUGAUUAGCUUGUUGGCGGGUUAACGGCCCACCAAGGCAACGAUCAGUAGGGGUUCUGAGAGGAAGGUCCCCCACAUUGGAACUGAGACACGGUCCAAACUCCUACGGGAGGCAGCAGUGAGGAAUAUUGGUCAAUGGGCGGAAGCCUGAACCAGCAAAGUAGCGUGCAGGAUGACGGCCCUAUGGGUUGUAAACUGCUUUUAUACAGGAAUAAAGUUAGCCACGUGUGGUUAUUUGUAGGUACUGUAUGAAUAAGGACCGGCUAAUUCCGUGCCAGCCGCCGCCGUAACAC
rnacentral:rRNA from 1 species